GUUUCUGAGGACACAGGACUUUGACACUGCGAGGCUGUUAUGGGCGUAGCAUCACGUGGGCCUUCACUCCCUAGCGCGGUACCCCAGCCACCAGUUACACUUCCGGCACUUGGGCAGAGCAGUCGUGCUUCCGGGUCGCGCCAGCUCCCCGGGUUCUCCGGGCUGCAUCCCAGGUCUAGCUCACACUCUUGAGGAAUUCUUAGACUGCAGGGCCUGCAGCCUGGAGGGGGAAUGUCUGGUGCCUGCUACGCGCAGGCAGCGCAGGUGACUUGGCUCCGGUUCGCAGCCGAGGACACGCUGCUCCCCAGCCCGGUGUGCACCCCAAAGCCGUGGACCGGCGGCUGGCACUCCGCGACUCGAGCCGGCGCAGCUUUCCACGCAGCGCUGCGGGAGGAAUCGCACGAUGGCCGCCCAGUUCCCUGAGACUGUAGCCCGCAGGAGCACUGCCGCCAGAACCGGGAGUGGCAGCUCCAGCUGUGCGCAGAGGACACAGGGCGGCUGGGGGUGAGGGACUUGACCUGCUUUCUCCGAACAGCUGGAAAGCAGCCAGACGGGCGGACCGGCGGCCUUGAGGAUGCGAGGAUUGGUGUGGAUCCAAGAAAAAGUCUGGAGACCUAUUGCUGAGACCACCGACCUAUCUGCUAAAAAUACAUUGCACUUUUCCAGGGGAGACAUUUUCUCUGAGAGGCAGAGCAACCGAAUCAAAUAAAAGUGCUGAAAACGGAAAAAAAAGCCAAGUGGAAAAUGAGGAGUAACGAUAUUUUAAAGAAGAAGAAAAGUGAUGUUUUUGAGAUAGUCUUACUUUGUAGCCAUGCUUGACUCACUGGCAGAAAAAUUAUUUUAUUCUUUUUUUCCCCUUACUGUCCUUCACCGUCACACUUGUUUUGUGCAGACAAUGAUCAAACCCAGUGUUUUGGGCGUGCUUGGCGAGCUCCCUAACUGAGACACAGCCUAAUUGUUCUAACUUCUUAGCCAAAUGAAAGUCAUCAUAAAAUAAAGCAAAACAAAACCUUGGAAACAAGCUCUAUAGAGUGUCUUCAAAUUGGUGCACACCAUUUCUCCAAAGGAGCGAAAAGAAAUAUAGGCAAUAUUUUUCCUAUUCCUUCCUCCCACCCCCUGCCUUGUGCACAUGCUCUAUUACUAGGAGUGGCACUCCCAGGCUUAUACUUCUGAACUCUAAUCACUGCUCAUC
rnacentral:lncRNA from 1 species